ensembl:lncRNA
AGGGGGGAGAAUAUGGAGCUGCUUGGCAGAGAGAGAGUGAUAUAUAGCUCCAGGAUCAGAGGGCAGGAAACUGCAGCAUUGGCAUGGCCAAUGGUGUUGGCCUGGCUAAAUGGGAGUGCAACAGGCAGCAGCAGCCAAGGUUUACAGCAACUGCCCAGUGCUACAGCAUCAGUGCUAAGGAAGGGGGUGUAUCCUGUCUCUGAUGGUGAAAAGCUUUCUGUUGGACAAUUUCUUUUCCUGAGCAUGCCCUCAAGCUCUACGGAAGGACACCUGCUGAUGUUUUGUACACCUCCAGGCACCAACGUGAAGCACUUCUUGGAUGGCAUCUCCACAAGAUCUGCUUCGCACCCAUCCUGCAGCCACUCAAGCUCAUGUGAUCACACGGUCUCACUUGCUGGUUCCCCUCUGUAGCCCUGCUUGCUCUCACUGUUGACAUGUAAGGAGUGGUAGAAGA